UAGCUAGUUGGUGAGGUAACGGCUUACCAAGGCGACGAUCUGUAGCGGGUCUGAGAGGAUGAUCCGCCACACUGGAACUGAGACACGGUCCAGACUCCUACGGGAGGCAGCAGUGGGGAAUUUUGGACAAUGGGGGCAACCCUGAUCCAGCCAUGCCGCGUGAGUGAAGAAGGCCUUCGGGUUGUAAAGCUCUUUCGGCCGGGAAGAAAUCGCAUGGGCCAAUACCCUGUGUGGAUGACGGUACCGGAAUAAGAAGCACCGGCUAACUACGUGCCAGCAGCCGCGGUAAUACGUAGGGUGCGAGCGUUAAUCGGAAUUACUGGGCGUAAAGCGUGCGCAGGCGGUUUUGUAAGACAGGCGUGAAAUCCCCGGGCUCAACCUGGGAACUGCGUUUGUGACUGCAAGGCUAGAGUACGGCAGAGGGGGGUGGAAUUCCACGUGUAGCAGUGAAAUGCGUAGAGAUGUGGAGGAACACCAAUGGCGAAGGCAGCCCCCUGGGUCGAUACUGACGCUCAUGCACGAAAGCGUGGGUAGCAAACAGGAUUAGAUACCCUGGUAGUCCACGCCCUAAACUAUGUCAACUAGGUGUUGGGUGGGUAAAACCAUUUAGUACCGUAGCUAACGCGUGAAGUUGACCGCCUGGGGAGUACGGCCGCAAGGUUAAAACUCAAAGGAAUUGACGGGGACCCGCACAAGCGGUGGAUGAUGUGGAUUAAUUCGAUGCAACGCGAAAAACCUUACCUACCCUUGUCAUGCCAGGAACUUGCCAGAGAUGGCUUGGUGCCCGAAAGGGAGCCUGGACACAGGAGCUGCAUGGCUGUCGUCAGCUCGUGUCGUGAGAUGUUGGGUUAAGUCCCGCAACGAGCGCAACCCUUGUCGUUAAUUGCCAUCGUUUAGUUGGGCACUUUAGCGAGACUGCCGGUGACAAACCGGAGGAAGGUGGGGAUGACGUCAAGUCCUCAUGGCCCUUAUGGGUAGGGCUUCACACGUCAUACAAUGGUCGGUACAGAGGGUCGCCAAGCCGCGAGGUGGAGCCAAUCCCAGAAAGCCGAUCGUAGUCCGGAUUGCAGGCUGCAACUCGCCUGCAUGAAGUCGGAAUCGCUAGUAAUCGUGGAUCAGCAUGUCACGGUGAAUACGUUCCCGGGUCUUGUACACACCGCCCGUCACACCAUGGGAGCGGGUUCCGCCAGAAGUAGGUAGCCUAACCGCAAGGAGGGCGCUUACCACGGCGGGGUUCGUGACUGGGGUGAAGUCGUAACAAGGUAGCCGUAGGGGAACCUGCGGCUG
rnacentral:rRNA from 1 species